AUUGAACGCUGGCGGCAGGCCUAACACAUGCAAGUCGAACGAGUCGCGCACGGGUGAGUAAUGUCUGGGAAACUGCCUGAUGGGGGGGGAUAACUACUGGAAACGGUAUCUAAUACCGCAUACCAUCAGAUGUGCCCAGAUGGGAUUAGCUUGUUGGUGGGGUAACGGCGCCCCAAGGCGACGAUCCCUAGCUGGUCUGAGAGGAUGACCAGCCACACUGGAACGGAGACACGGUCCAGACGCCUACGGGAGGCAGCAGUGGGGAAUAUUGCACAAUGGGCGCAAGCCUGAUGCAGCCAUGCCGCGUGUAUGAAGAAGGCCUUAGGGUUGUAAAGUACUUUCAGCCGGGAGGCGUUACCGGCAGAAGAAGCACCGGCUAACUCCGUGCCAGCAGCCGCGGUAAUUC
rnacentral:rRNA from 1 species